rnacentral:sRNA from 2 species
AUAUCUCUCUGUACGGGAAGGAUGAGAAGCUUCGACUAAGGUUCGAUUCGAGCGCAGCGAGAAAGCGUUGCCGCAGGCAACGACCCGAAGGGCGAAGCGCGCAGCGCUGAGUAAUCCUUCCCCC